rnacentral:rRNA from 1 species
CAGCCGCCGCGGUAAUACGUAGGUGGCAAGCGUUGUCCGGAAUUAUUGGGCGUAAAGCGCGCGCAGGCGGAUAGGUCAGUCUGUCUUAAAAGUUCGGGGCUUAACCCCGUGAUGAGAUGGAAACUGCCAAUCUAGAGUAUCGGAGAGGAAGGUGGAAUUCCUAGUGUAGCGGUGAAAUGCGUAGAUAUUAGGAAGAACACCAGUGGCGAAGGCGACUUUCUGGACGAAAACUGACGCUGAGGCGCGAAAGCCAGGGGAGCGAACGGGAUUAGAUACCCCCGUAGUCCCUGUCUCUUAUACA